rfam:Gossypium hirsutum cultivar TM-1 unplaced genomic scaffold scaffold3200.1, whole genome shotgun sequence
AGUCCAUGGUGAGGACACCUUUGCAGUAGGUCCUUGUAUCCCUCCCAUGCAUUGUAAAGAGUUUUUAAGUCCAUCUGCACAAACGAAGAGAUAUCAUUAUGUAAUU